GACGAACGCUGGCGGCGUGCCUAAUACAUGCAAGUAGAACGCUGAAGGAGGAGCUUGCUUCUCUGGAUGAGUUGCGAACGGGUGAGUAACGCGUAGGUAACCUGCCUGGUAGCGGGGGAUAACUAUUGGAAACGAUAGCUAAUACCGCAUAAGAGUAGAUGUUGCAUGACAUUUGCUUAAAAGGUGCAAUUGCAUCACUACCAGAUGGACCUGCGUUGUAUUAGCUAGUUGGUGGGGUAACGGCUCACCAAGGCGACGAUACAUAGCCGACCUGAGAGGGUGAUCGGCCACACUGGGACUGAGACACGGCCCAGACUCCUACGGGAGGCAGCAGUGGGGAAUCUUCGGCAAUGGACGGAAGUCUGACCGAGCAACGCCGCGUGAGUGAAGAAGGGUUUCGGAUCGUAAAGCUCUGUUGUAAGAGAAGAACGAGUGUGAGAGUGGAAAGUUCACACUGUGACGGUAUCUUACCAGAAAGGGACGGCUAACUACGUG
rnacentral:rRNA from 1 species